AAAAAGAUAAGCUAAAUUAAGCUUAGAGAUUCAUAAUCUUUACAUAGAAAUAGAGACUUUCUUCUUUUUA
rnacentral:tRNA from 1 species